AUCCUUUCAUGGGUCAUAAGUGUGAUGGUUGGUUUUUCUUGUACCUGUCUGAGAUGUGCCUCCCUCAGAUCUUGUUACAGUGUUGGCAUAUUACCUGACA
ensembl:snoRNA